UACGAAGGGGGCUAGCGUUGUUCGGAAUUACUGGGCGUAAAGGGCGUGUAGGCGGCCAUACAGGUCCGUUGUGAAAACUCGAGGCUCAACCUCGAGACGUCGAUGGAAACCGUAUGGCUAGAGUCCGGAAGAGGAGAGUGGAAUUCCUGGUGUAGCGGUGAAAUGCGCAGAUAUCAGGAAGAACACCCGUGGCGAAGGCGGCUCUCUGGGACGGUACUGACGCUGAGACGCGAAAGCGUGGGGAGCGAACAGG
rnacentral:rRNA from 1 species